UCAAUUAAUUUUUAAAUAAUGUAACAUAAGACACUAUAAGAAAAUUGUCGUAUAAUAACACUCAUCCUAUAGUGACAUAAAAAUUGUCACUAAAAA
rnacentral:miRNA from 1 species